rnacentral:rRNA from 1 species
UACGUAGGGUGCAAGCGUUAAUCGGAAUACUGGGCGUAAAGCGUGCGCAGGCGGUUUUAUAAAGUUUGUCGUGAAAGCCCCCGGGCUCAACCUGGGAAUUGCGAUGAAGACUGUAAGGCUAGAGUGUGUCAGAGGGGGGGUAGAAUUCCACGUGUAGCAGUGAAAAUGCGUAGAUAUGUGGAGGAACACCGAUGGCGAAGGCAGCCCCCCUGGGAUAACACUGACGCUCAUGCACGAAAAGCGUGGGGGAGCAAACAGG